rnacentral:rRNA from 1 species
UGGGGAAUAUUGCACAAUGGUCGCAAGCCUGAUGCAGCCAUGCCGCGUGUAUGAAGAAGGCCUUCGGGUUGUAAAGUACUUUCAGCGGGGAGGAAGGCGAUAAGGUUAAUAACCUUGUCGAUUGACGUUACCCGCAGAAGAAGCACCGGCUAACUCCGUGCCAGCAGCCGCGGUAAUACGGAGGGUGCAAGCGUUAAUCGGAAUUACUGGGCGUAAAGCGCACGCAGGCGGUCUGUCAAGUCGGAUGUGAAAUCCCCGGGCUCAACCUGGGAACUGCAUUCGAAACUGGCAGGCUAGAGUCUUGUAGAGGGGGGUAGAAUUCCAGGUGUAGCGGUGAAAUGCGUAGAGAUCUGGAGGAAUACCGGUGGCGAAGGCGGCCCCCUGGACAAAGACUGACGCUCAGGUGCGAAAGCGUGGGGAGCAAACA